UUGGAGGGCAAGUCUGGUGCCAGCAGCCGCGGUAAUUCCAGCUCCAAUAGCGUAUAUUAAAGUUGUUGCAGUUAAAAAGCUCGUAGUUGAAUUUCGGGGUCAGCAGGUUGGUCGUGCCAACGGUAUGUACUGGCUUUGCUGAUUCCUCCUUCUUGUAGAACUGUAAUGCCAUUAAUUUGGUGUUGCAGGGAAACAGGACUGUUACUUUGAAAAAAUUAGAGUGUUUAAAGCAGGCUUACGCUUGAAUACAUUAGCAUGGAAUAAUGAAAUAGGACGUUGAUCCUAUUUUGUUGGUUUCUAGGAUUGACGUAAUGAUUAAUAGGGAUAGUUGGGGGCAUUAGUAUUCAAUUGUCAGAGGUGAAAUUCUUGGAUUUAUUGAAGACUAACUACUGCGAAAGCAUUUGCCAAGGAUGUUUUCAUUAAUCAAGAACGAAAGUUAGGGGAUCGAAGACGAUCAGAUACCGUCGUAGUCUUAACCAUAAACUAUGCCGACUGGGGAUCGGAUGAUGUUAAUUUUUUAAUGACUCAUUCGGCGCCUUACGGGAAAC
rnacentral:rRNA from 1 species